UGAAGGAUCACACUCUCUUUUUUCUGAAACCAUCUGCGUGCAUUUCAAUUGCAGGAUAUAUGAUUGCCUAUGGAAUCAAUUAGAGUUAAUUGGAAAUAAGCAAGUUGUGCUGAUGCAGGAGUCACUGCAUACUCUAUAUGUAGAUACAUUCAUACGUAAAGAAAAAGAGAUAAAAGUAUAUGGUUGGCUAUAAUAUGGAAAGUUUAAAAAGUUAAAAUCCACAAAGCAUAAAGUAUAAAUAUGGAAUCUGGAAGCACUGAAAAAGCAUUGUAUUGAAUCUGGAUACUAUGUAGAGAGAAAAAUAAACACAAGAUACGAUCAUAAUGUUAAUAGACUACUGGUGUUGAUUUUAAGAGAUAUGUUUGGCUAUAAUCAAGAGAAUGCGAGAAAAAACGCAAAAA